AACGCCGCCGCCACGCGCAGCCGACGCUGAUGCCAUUGGAGCCAGAUUCCCGUCCACCUCCUGCUCCUGCGCACCUAGCACAGAAAAUGGGGACUGCUCCGGCGAAUCCACCGGCGCGGUGAGGAGCUGGUAGAGAGGGAGAUGAGCGGGCGCAGCGCCUCCCACUAUGCUGCUGAGCAUGGCCUCCACGGCUGCUGCCUUGCGCUCUGCCUGGCAGCCAAGCAGAGCCUCUCCUCCCCCUGGCCGCCUCCUCCCCAUAACCGUCCUCUGCCCUCUUCUUUCUUCCUCUGGCCCUGUUAUUCCACUGAUUAAUUUUUUUUUCUCGAUCUUCUUUUGUUUACGUCAUUGGGGUUUGAUUGCUCCAGAUGGACCUGAUCGCUCCCCUGCGUGACAUGGGAGAUCACGUAGUGCACAAAGUAACGGAACUUCUUAUUUUCCACAUUACUAAAUUCGCUCUUUCCAUCUGGAAAGUUAGAGCAAAUUGAGCUAGAGUUAGCCAAACCCCCGACGGUGGUGGUGUUGAGGAGUGCUAUGUGCUGGCAAGUGGAUCCGAUGGGAGUAAAGGGACAGAGAUAAUGCAGAGGAUAUGAGUAUGGUCGAGAGGUUUCUUGAAGAGGUGGGAUGGAAGAGGGACAGAAAGGGGGGAAAUAACAGGGAUUAUUAGAUGACGGGAUUAAAAAAUGAGGCUUCAAAGAAGCUUCAGGCUUAGCCCAUUCUUGAGGUUGCAAUUGUACAAGAGGCAGAUCGUCUGGAGUUUGUGGAAGGCCUCACUGGGAUGAGAGCUGCUUGCGAACUUACCGCCCAUGUACUGAACUUUGCGCGAACAUUGGUCAAGUGUUAUCUCAGCCAUCAGUUACUACGAAUGAAAUCGACAGUGUGGUGCAUCAUAUGAUAGUUGAGGCGGGUGCUUCUGCUUCUCCUCUUGACUAUGGUGGAUUUCCUAAAAGUAUCAGCACAUCAGUAAAUGAGUGUGUCUGCGACGGGCUACCCGAUUCAACACAACUGCAGAACGGAGAUAUCACAAAUAUUGACGUAAAUGUGUUCCUGAAUGAUUCAUACCAUACUCUAUAGAGAUACCAUGGUUGAGCUCACUUGGUGGAACUUCCACACAUCUGUAUGUGGAGAAGCGGAUGAAUCUAUCAGACAUUUCCUGGAGGUAAGUUGAUGCUGAUGUGUGAUAUAAUUCAUCCAGUAUACAUAGCUGCUUAGUAAUGAUUUGUGCUUAAUCUCAGUGUUGCAAUAUUUAUGAACGCAAUGUUUUCUCUAAUCUAGAAAUCUCUUAAAUUUAAGGAAAAAUCUUUUGAAAGGGCUUUUUUCCAAGAAAUUUCUAAUUUCCUUUUGAUACUUUGUCCUGGAACUCUCAUAGAUUUUACUAUGAUAAAAAUGCUUUUUUCAGAAGAUAAAGUGUUGAUUUUAAGAAAGGAAAUGUGUGAGUGCUAUGCUUUGGUAAUUAGGCAUUAUAUGACUUGUGAUCGUACACACUCUUGAUAUCUGUAUCUUAAGUGGAAACAUAUGCAUUUUAAAAUUUCAGACCAAGUUGACAUAUCUUGAUGGAACCUUUGCAUAACCUAUAUAUUGGACGAAGAAUAGUGUGAGGGGUGAAUGAACAAGUGUCAGUCGAAUUGAAUGUGGUGCCGAUACAAUCCGUUGCUUUGUGCAGCAUUCACUUUUUAGUUUCCUAGGCUCUAACCUGAGAUGGAACCCCAUGGUGUACAAACCUGUAGAGCUGCAAGCAUAUCUAUCUAAAAAUGGAGAACUAGCCAAGAAUGACCAAGUGCAGCUCUGUUCAGCUAGAGUUAGCUCGGUUUGUGCAUCAAGGGCAUAUGGUUGGUUAAUUUUUUGAACCCUUCUCAUGUAGCAGGUAGUGUUAAACACGUUGACUGAUCUAUUCUGUGUGCGUUCUAUUUUGGUCAGAUUAAUAUCUGGCUGAAAUAGGAACACUCCAUUUACAGAGGUCAAAACAUAAUAGAUAAUGUGUUCUCUAGAUUGAUUAUGGUGUUUACCAAUCAGGAUGUCAAAACUGCACCUUGGGACACGACUAGGCUUUGUCUUAAGAGUGACACCAAUAUACUCUUGUGUUGUGUGAGGCCUUUUUGGCAUCAUCGAUUAAGAACACGGUAUCUUCUACAGAUGUCCAUCAUAUAUGUUUGUGUGAAUAAAUACAAUAUAUUUGCAUGUUUCUUAGUUCUCAAUUAAUACCCAAACUAUCUCAAUACAAUGUUCUCUAUUAAUUCUUAUGUUACUACCUUGGCCCUCUUAUUACUCUCUUUAGUCACCGAUUUACAUAAAUAUUGCGUGCUUCACGAAUGGACAAGUGAAAGCUUCACUGGUGUUAGUUUGAGAAGAAACAGCAAACGAGAAGGUUAUAUUCCCAUAUUUUCCUGUGACCUUUAAUAUUUAGGUGCCAUGUGUGAGAUUUUUAGUGUCUUUGACCUGAGUUUUGAGAAUUUACCAGAUAGAUGUGUGAUCUGCUCUAAUUAAUUGGGAGGUUUUGUUGGUGCAGAAAGCUAUGAUAUGUCUGUUGUUACCCACCCAAGCAGAACUCCAUAAUUUUGUUUGUACAUGUAGUAAUUGUAUACUUCAUAGCUUGAGUCUGUAUACAUUUCUGUAUGCCGUUUUCUCAUAUUUUGUGUUUUGAGUUCUGUAGCUAUUUUCAUCCAUUCAUAAUUUGUUUACAGGGAGAUGGAAUUCAUGUUUUUGUACCAGAAGCUCAAGUUAAUAAAUUUGAGCAUGUUUAGUGGACGGUCAGGUGUACUAUCUUCAGUAUUUUGAAAGUAUGUCUGUUAGAGAAUAGUUCUGGCCAGCCAGUCAUAGGUUUGAGCUGCAUUUCGCAUCAUCCAGCCUAUAGAUGAUAGAUACAAGAUAAGUUUUGACCAGAAAUGCUAUGGUACCAUACACUUUCCCUUUAUACUAUUGCAACCUAAGGUCAUUCAAAAGCAUAAUGGUCACCAUUAUGGAUAUUAUACCACUCUUUUGAUUUGUCAUGUUAAUAUAUGUGUUAAUCUUGCUAAUUCAAAUAUAGUCUUCUCGAAAUAGGUGUUUUCUUUUUGUUACAAGAUUGGAGUUCAUUCUCUGUUCCAAUGUUUCUUUGAUGCUGAUGGAAAAACACUAUUUUUGGUAGAAUCAUCCAAGUGUAGUAUACUGUUAAAUGGAUUGCUGAAAGAGGGCAACGAUUUCAGUUUACAAAAAGGGAGCCUGCCACUUUGGCUUAUCUGUAUAAGUUCAUACCGCACAAAGUGGUGUUAAUAAGUGGAUUGUAGGAUGUGUUUUUUGCAGAUUGUUAUUUAAUAACACACUAUAUAUGCGAACAAGAUUGUUUGCUCCAAGAUUGAUGGCGUUCUUUUUCUAGAAUAAAGUGGUACAACUUGUAUAUUUUUUCUUCUUUUGACUAAGAAGAGGUUGGGUAGACAAUGAUAUGGAGUUAUGGACCAACAUACACAUGUUUCUUUUGUAUACCUGCUACUUGUUGAGGUGUGGCCAUGGAGUAAAAAAAGGUUGGCAUUGAUUUAGACGGAAUUAUUCUAAAGAUUGUGCAGGUGACGCCCCGCCGAGCGCUGACCUGGUCGCCAAGACUCUCUCCUUCCGCUCCGCCUUCCAGCCCAACUCCCGCCGCCAACGCACUUCCACGACCUCCUCGACGCCCUCGGUCCAUAACCGGCAACGCCAUCUUUGCGGAGGUGCGAACUUCCUGGACUUCCUCAGGAGUUCAACGCUUGCUCCGCACGCCUGGGCCUUGCUGCCGCCGGCGCAACUUCUCUGCGUGUACGCUGCGGCCGGCGACAUGUGGCCUACGUUUCGAGCGCGAUGAGGACGGCAGUGACGGGAAGUUUGUGGGCAAGCUCGCGCUGGGGGAGCUCGCCGAGAUGCUCUCUAUGUGUUGGGCCGACGUGGAGCGGUGUGGGGCCCCGAGGGUUUCGGAAGGGGUGAAGGGUGGGAGGUGGGGCGUGCUGCUCCCGGACGUAUCGCAGCUGGUACUAUACUGAUGCUGUCCCCACUCAUGUCUGACGGGACCGCCGUGACGCCGCUGCCGUCUGGGCUGCGAGGUUUCCGGUGCUGCUGGGAUGGGGAUGGUGCAGUAAUCUAAUCUUUCUUUGUUCUUCACGAAUUAGCGUGCAACGUAUCCAGGUGAGAUUUGUUGCCGCUGAUAAUUAAUUUUGCAUCAGGGAAGCCAACGCUAAGAUUCUGGUAGCUAGCAGCUUAUAUCUUGCAUCAGGCUGAACUUUGCAUCUCCCGUAAGAUGGCCUACCAAUAAACUCCUGCUAUAUUUCCUCUACCAUCUAAUUAGGCAAAAGUUUCUUUGUUAUACAUCAGAUUACAUGACUUAUAGAUUAGAAAUAUGAUUGACUGACUAGGCGACGUUUAGUAUAAAUGGAGUCCUGUUAUUGUUCUAUUAUUUAUGCACACCUACGUUACAUAGAUUGCUUGAAGUAAUUGUAUGGAGUGUGUCCAUGUGGUGUUCUUCAAGGACACAAUUAGCUAAGCUAUUUAGUAAGUUGAGUUGGCAUUGUUUCUGUAACUAAGCUGAAUUAGCAUUGUUUCAUGAGGCAAUGUGCAGACAAUGGAGGUAUUAAUGAAAUUAGUCUGAGUCCAAUGGAGGCUUUAUCAGUCUCGGCACCAUUCAGCCUCCCCUUUGUUUCUAAAGGGAGGCUUCUUAGUGUAAUUUUUCUUCCAUUGAGAUGUUUUUUCCACAUCCAAAUAUUAUAUAUUAUAUAAAAUAAUUAUAGUAUUCUGCGCCUAAAUAUUUAUGGCUAGCAAUAUAUCUCCUGCCUUUCUAUUAAAAAUAUAUCCCCGUUAGUCUGAUUUCGGAACUGUUUUUCUUUGCACCUGUUCUGAACCCUCUGCAUUCUUUUUAUACCCAUUGACACUUGCUCAAGAAUUUUAAAAUGUCCAUUUCUAUUGGCUUGAGAAAUUGAGUUUAUCGUAUCUUCCCGUAGUUUGAGUAUAGUUUAAGAAUCUCAUCAUUUGCUGUAGAAGCUAUACAUCAUCAUAUCGUGGACAUAUCCUUCUCUGGCGGUCAUGCUCUAGAUUGGUCUCUGCGGUUUUAUGCGUGUUCAUGGUAUAUACUUAUAUCCACUAUUUGGAGAUAAGCAAUCCAAUGGUUUAUUGGGUUCGAUUACAACAAGCAGGUGGUGAGGUCUAGCAGCCGCAGCACGACGAGGCCAACGACAACAUCACCUGGUAUUUGUUCCAGCCGGGCCAUUCCACUUCUCACGGCAACGGAUGCCAGGUCCUUCAAUACCCUAGAGACCUGGAGCCACGACCAUAAGCCAAGAGCCUUGAGGAGGGACUGAUCUAGCUGCUGAAGAGGAGGUGACCCCGCUAGGAGGAGGCGGUGAUCAAGGGUGCAUGGAGUAGUGCCACCUACUGGCGAGCAAUCACCGAGGCCGUGAUGACAAUGAUGUGUCCCAUUUGCCACCGCGGCCGUUCCACACCACCGAUGUAGCGAUUGAGUUGAAGCAUGAACAUGCGGCGAACUUUCUCUAUGUCAGAUUGUCAGCACGGAGCUAGAUCACUCGGUCUCAUUUGGUGCCGAUCAGCAACGAAGGCCGCGAUGAGGACGCGCCGCCAUUACCCACCACCGAGGUAGCGUUUGAGAUAAAGCUGGAGCACGAACAACUGAAGGUCAUGCACAACGCUCUCACAAGCUGGUGCUACGUUCCUAUUUAUCGUUGUUGUCUUCUACAUAUUGUUGCUAUCCACUUUGCAACAUUAGGCAACACUUUCUAUUAAUUACAAUGAUGGUUCCCCCUUUA